rnacentral:tRNA from 1 species
GCCACCUUAGCUCAGUUGGUAGAGCAAUCCCUUCGUAAGGGAAAGAUCCUCGGUUCGAGGCCGAGAGGUGGCU